AGUGAACGCUGGCGGUAGGCCUAACACAUGCAGUCGAACGGCAGCACAGUAAGAGCUUGCUCUUACGGGUGGCGAGUGGCGGACGGGUGAGGAAUACAUCGGAAUCUACUUUUUCGUGGGGGAUAACGUAGGGAAACUUACGCUAAUACCGCAUACGACCUACGGGUGAAAGCAGGGGAUCUUCGGACCUUGCGCGAUUGAAUGAGCCGAUGUCGGAUUAGCUAGUUGGCGGGGUAAAGGCCCACCAAGGCGACGAUCCGUAGCCGGUCUGAGAGGAUGAUCAGCCACACUGGAACUGAGACACGGUCCAGACUCCUACGGGAGGCAGCAGUGGGGAAUAUUGGACAAUGGGCGCAAGCCUGAUCCAGCCAUACCGCGUGGGUGAAGAAGGCCUUCGGGUUGUAAAGCCCUUUUGUUGGGAAAGAAAAGCAGCAGGUUAAUACCCCGCUGUUCUGACGGUACCCAAAGAAUAAGCACCGGCUAACUUCGUG
rnacentral:rRNA from 1 species